rnacentral:rRNA from 1 species
GCAUAACGCGAAGAACCUUACCUACUCUUGACAUCCAGAGAACUUAGCAGAGAUGCUUUGGUGCCUUCGGGAACUCUGAGACAGGUGCUGCAUGGCUGUCGUCAGCUCGUGUUGUGAAAUGUUGGGUUAAGUCCCGCAACGAGCGCAACCCUUAUCCUUUGUUGCCAGCGGUUAGGCCGGGAACUCAAAGGAGACUGCCAGUGAUAAACUGGAGGAAGGUGGGGAUGACGUCAAGUCAUCAUGGCCCUUACGAGUAGGGCUACACACGUGCUACAAUGGCGCAUACAAAGAGAAGCGACCUCGCGAGAGCAAGCGGACCUCAUAAAGUGCGUCGUAGUCCGGAUUGGAGUCUGCAACUCGACUCCAUGAAGUCGGAAUCGCUAGUAAUCGUAGAUCAGAAUGCUACGGUGAAUACGUUCCCGGGUCUUGUACACACCG